ensembl:processed_transcript E130307A14Rik RIKEN cDNA E130307A14 gene
GAGGAGGGGGUUCUCCCCCGCUCGGAGCGCGCGGCUGGGGAAGAAGCUGGCGGGAAGCCGGGCCGCGCGCCGAGGAAUCGAUGAUUCGGCCUGUGGGCCGGGUCACUGCGGCGGGGCCCGGGGAGCGCCGAUAGCAUGGAUAGGCUCAGAGGGGCGCAGGGUUUUGGCGGCUUCUCGAGUUCCCCUCGCCGACCGCCAUGUCACAUCUUACGGAAGAGGCGGGGGCUGCCGCGGAGAGGAUAUUUUUUGUUUUGUUUUGUUUUCACAAGAAUCACCUGGAUGCUUCUAAAGAGGAUGUCUACCAGACCCCAUGCCGCACUAAUUAGCUCAGAAGUGGGAACCCUUCGCUAGCUCCAUGUUUUGUUCACAUGACUCUCAACCUGGUGUGGCCUGGACUCCAGUCCCUGGCUCAAGGAAAGUCCAGACUGACAUAGAAAAUCCCUGCUCACCAGCCUUGACCUUGGGAGAAAGCCCCUGACCUGUGAGUGGACAGAAGGCCUAGUGGUCAGCCCGUGGGAGCCCUGGAGCGUGCACUGCUGGAGCAGCUCAGAAAAAGCUGAGAAGCCAAGACUUGACUGUCAGUCCUGGAGAAUUAGAACAUGCCUGCUAAAUUUCAGUCCACUCUGAGGAAGGGGCGGUGCCCACAAGGAAACCUAGUGGGUGGGGUUCUGGCUGGGACUCAUCUGGAGUUCCCAGGGCAGAUGCCCGGCCCCAGCUUAUAGACCAUGAUGCGGCUGGGCUUCCGUGUCUGAUUCUUAAGUGCCUCAGGUAAACAGACUCUCCUUUGCUUUGCCAGGAGGAAUGACAUUACUAUCAGCAUUGUAAAAGUCUGUGGCCUUUGGGAGAGUAAUUUUACUUCUAAGACUCUCCUCUACAGAGAAGUGUGCACACUGUUCCCAGUGGAGUCUAUAAAGAUAGCAAAGAGCAAAGACUUAAAGCAGAAUGGCUCCGGGUUUGAAGUGUUGUGUAUUUAGACAAUGAACAGCCCACCUUUAAACAAGCCCCACAUGGACUGAAGCGGAGGCAGCUCCAAAUGUAUUAGGUGACAGUGUGCCACAUGGCUCUGUGUGAUGGUAAGAUUAUAUGUGUACAUGUCAUCUCGAAAGGAGAAUUCGGCUUAUCUCUGGGGAGAGAGUCUGCAUCUUUUCUCAUUUGUACCGAGUAUGGAGUGUGUAUCUACCUCUCUGUCAGAAAUGUCAAGGGAAGGGUUCACCAUUGACCUGAUGCUCACAAAGGUUAGGAACCAAUGCCAACCACAAUGCCCACCUCUACCUUCAGGAGACAGUAAACGCCUUAGAAUACAAAACCUAUAAACAACCAAGACUGUGGUGCCUGCUGGGGCUGGGCCUGAGCUGCACACAGAGGCUAGGUACCGAACAGCUGCCAUGGUAAACUGGCACAGUUAGGCACGCGGCCGGGUUCACACGCCCUCUGCCCUGACUUUAAAGACAGCAGUCUUGGCCCAGCUUCCCUCGUCCCCUAUGUAUGGGCAGAGAGCUAUACUUGCUGGGUUUCCAGCUCUUGAAUUUGGACUCCUCUUCUCUUUUCUCUUUUUGAGAGAGGGUCUCACUGUGUAUUCGUGGCUGCUCUGGAACUAACUGGACCAGGCUGGCCUUGAUGUAGAUCUCUGCCUUCUAAAAAAUAAAAAUAUGUUUUAUGUA